rnacentral:rRNA from 1 species
GCAGAACGCGAAGAACCUUACCAAGGCUUGACAUGGAUUUCUAAGCACGUGAAAGCGUGUGACCCUUCGGGGGACUUCCACAGGUGCUGCAUGGCCGUCGUCAGCUCGUGUCGUGAGAUGUUGGGUUAAGUCCCGCAACGAGCGCAACCCUUGUGAACAGUUGCCAGCGCGUCAUGGCGGGAACUCUGUUCAGACUGCCCAGAUCAACUGGGAGGAAGGUGGGGACGACGUCAGGUCAGUAUGGCCCUUACGCCUUGGGCUGCACACGUACUACAAUGCCCAGCACAAUGAGAACCGAUGCCGCGAGGUGGGAAAANUGCAAAAACUGGGGCNGUUCGGGAUUGGGAGGGCUGCAACUCGCCUCCAUGAAGUUGGAAUCGCUAGUAAUGGCACAUCAGCUACGGUGCCGUGAAUACGUUCCCGGG